rnacentral:rRNA from 1 species
CUGACUGCUAUCGGAUGAUACUAAGCCAUGCGAGUCUUGCAGUAAUGCAAGGCAUACGGCUCAGUAACACGUAGUCAACCUACCCUAUGGACGAGAAUAAUCUCGGGAAACUGAGCAUAAUUCUUGAUAGAUCAUAAUGCCUGGAAUGGUUUAUGGUUAAAAUGAUUCGUCGCCAUAGGAUGGGACUGCGGCCUAUCAGCUUGUUGGUGAGGUAAUGGCCCACCAAGGCGAUUACAGGUACGGGCUCUGAGAGGAGAAGCCCGGAGAUGGGUACUGAGACACGGACCCAGGCCCUAUGGGGCGCAGCAGGCGAGAAAACUUUGCAAUGUGCGAAAGCACGACAAGGUUAAUCCGAGUGAUUUCUGCUAAAGAAAUCUUUUGCCAGUCGUAAAACCGCUGGUGAAUAAGGGGUGGGCAAGUUCUGGUGUCAGCCGCCGCGGUAAAACCAGCACCUCAAGUGGUCAGGAUGAUUAUUGGGCCUAAAGCAUCCGUAGCCGGCUUUGUAAGUUUUCGGUUAAAUCCAUGUGCUCAACGCAUGGGCUGCCGAAAAUACUGCAUAGCUAGGGAGUGGGAGAGGUAGACGGUACUCAGUAGGUAGGGGUAAAAUCCUUUGAUCUAUUGAUGACCACCUGUGGCGAAGGCGGUCUACCAGAACACGUUCGACGGUGAGGGAUGAAAGCUGGGGGAGCAAACCGGAUUAGAUACCCGGGUAGUCCCAGCUGUAAACGAUGCAGACUAGAUGAUGCAUUGGCAUAAUAGCCAUUGCAGUGUCUCAGGGAAGCCGUUAAGUCUGCCGCCUGGGAAGUACGUACGCAAGUAUGAAACUUAAAGGAAUUGGCGGGGGAGCACCACAAGGGGUGAAGCCUG